UUUUGUUUUUGCCCCAAUUUUUCAUGAGCUGAACUCAAAGAAGUAUUACUUUUUCUAUGAAGGCCUUUUGUGUGCAUAGAAAAAGUAAUAAAUCUUUCAGCUCAUGAAAAAUGGGGGCAACAACAAAAG